AAAAUAGAAAAUGUUUUACCUUACGACGGACGCCAUUUUUAUUAUUUAGCAUGCGUCUGUUGUGUAAUUAUUAUAUUGUAAAUUCAUUAUUGUUUACCGUCAGUAAACGAUUACAUACGCAAUCGGGGGUGUAUUGUUCGCAGGUACCACAAGAGGCACUUGUGAAAACAGCCGGCAAUAAACAAACUUUUAAAUACUCAUUCAUUGUUAUGAUGACACAAGAGAGAAACGCUAUGCAUAAAAUUAAGAAUUACCGGUGGCGCGGAGGCUUUUCCAGUUUCACCAGGACAGGUGGGCGAGCAAAGGUUUAGCCAGGAGAGGAUGGGAUUUGCUAACAGCUGCCCAAGGGCCUCCAAAGACACCUAACAACUGAAGGGCAACUGCUUCGCGAGUGAAUAAGCUAAGUCUACAAUCACAUCGUAUCGCCUCUAAAGACGAGUGACAGAAUCUAGGUAAUGGUUCGUUUUUUAUUACUACCAUUAAGAGAGUUUUUUUUUUUUUUAUUGCCUGUGUAGGCAGACGAGCAUACGGCCCACCUGAUGGUAAGUGGUCACCGUCGCUCAUGCACGUCAGCAAUGCCAGGGGCAGAGCCAAGCCGCUGCCUACCAUGCUUUGUGGCACACCACAUACAACAGGCGUUCUUUAAAAAAUGUUCCCUUCCAGACAAACUUUAAAUGAUACAGCAGAUAUUCUGCAGUGUACUAUUUGAACAAUAUUCAAAGUGAUCUAUCAAAAUAGACCCAG